AUACGGAGGGUGCGAGCGUUGUUCGGAAUUACUGGGCGUAAAGCGCGUGUAGGCGGUUGGGCAAGUCGAAUGUGAAAGCCCCGGGCUCAACCCGGGAAUUGCAUCCGAAACUGCUCGGCUAGAGUCCCGGAGAGGAAGGCAGAAUUCCCAGUGUAGGGGUGAAAUCCGUAGAUAUUGGGAGGAAUACCAGUGGCGAAGGCGGCCUUCUGGACGGUGACUGACGCUGAGAUGCGAAAGCGUGGGGAGCAAACAGAAUUAGAUACCCCAGUAGUCC
rnacentral:rRNA from 1 species